rfam:Myotis lucifugus cont2.28616, whole genome shotgun sequence.
GCUGUUGUUGCUCAGUAGUUAGAGCGUCAGCCUGUGCACUGAAGGGUCGUGGGUUCAAUUCCCAGUCAAGGGCA